rnacentral:rRNA from 1 species
AGUCCUACGGGAGGCAGCAGUGGGGGAUAUUGCACAAUGGGCGCAAGCCUGAUGCAGCGACGCCGCGUGAGCGAAGAAGUAUUUCGGUAUGUAAAGCCCUAUCAGCAGGGAAGAAAAUGACGGUACCUGACUAAGAAGCUCCGGCUAAAUACGUGCCAGCAGCCGCGGUAAUACGGAGGAUGCGAGCGUUAUCCGGAUUUAUUGGGUUUAAAGGGUGCGUAGGCGGAAUGCCAAGUCAGCGGUAAAAUCGCGGGGCUCAACCUCGCUCCGCCGUUGAAACUGGCGUUCUUGAGUGGGCGAGAAGU